rnacentral:rRNA from 1 species
AGUGAACGCUGGCGGUAGGCCUAACACAUGCAAGUCGAACGGCAGCACAGUAAGAGCUUGCUCUUACGGGUGGCGAGUGGCGGACGGGUGAGGAAUACAUCGGAAUCUACUUUUUCGUGGGGGAUAACGUAGGGAAACUUACGCUAAUACCGCAUACGACCUACGGGUGAAAGCAGGGGAUCUUCGGACCUUGCGCGAUUGAAUGAGCCGAUGUCGGAUUAGCUAGUUGGCGGGGUAAAGGCCCACCAAGGCGACGAUCCGUAGCUGGUCUGAGAGGAUGAUCAGCCACACUGGAACUGAGACACGGUCCAGACUCCUACGGGAGGCAGCAGUGGGGAAUAUUGGACAAAGGGCGCAAGCCUGACCCAGCCAUACCGCGUGGGUGAAGAAGGCCUUCGGGUUGUAAAGCCCUUUUGUUGGGAAAGAAAAGCAGCAGGUUAAUACCCCGCUGUUCUGACGGUACCCAAAGAAUAAGCACCGGCUAACUUCGUG